GUGAAAACGAUGCUUCCGGGUCUUCCUUUACGGCCUGACAUCACUGUGCCUUCACCCCAGAACAUCUGUUACUGCCUUCUGUUCUCCCCAUUCACGUGUCCGUGGGAAUGCCUUGCAAGCAUAAACCUGCCAGGCAACACUCAUGCCCUUCUUCCACCAAUGAGAAUGCUGCGUCCAGCCAGGGCAAGACAGAAAGCGACAGCAAAGCCAAGACCCUCAAUACACUUUGCUUUGAUCCUCCACACCCCUCAUGGAAAUCCUGUGUGUACCACCACUUCCCCCUACUAUUGCCCUGGGUCAGGCAACCAUUUUAUUUAUUUAUUUAUUUAUUUAAGACAUUUAUAUACAGCUUUUCAUUUUAAAAAAUCCCAAAGCACUUUACAAGAACCAUUGAAAACAAGGGUAAAAACACAGAAUAAAAAUUAUUAAGAACACAUAAAAUUUGAGUGAACCUGGUAAAAAGCAAACGAUCACACACAGAACGCCUGAGUAAAAAAUAGGUCUUUAGUAGGUGCCUGUAAUCUGUUAAAGUAAGAGCCUCACAAACAGUAGCGGGGAGGGCGCUCCAAAGGGAAGGUGCCACCACUGAAAAGGCCCAACUGUGACCCAACAUAAGGUAAUAUUCUGUUAUAAGUGGGAGCGUCUCCAGAUGAUCCUAGGACUCUUCCAGAGUUGUAAUGGUGUAGGCAUACUUUAAGAUACCAUGGUCCCAAGUUGUUUAGGNUCUUAUAUUCCAAGCCAAAAAAUUGCAUAUACAGGACAGUGACCUUGCUUUAAAGGCUUGUCAGCUGCAAGAAUAUGCUAAUGUGAUAGCUGAUUUACUCAUUGCAGUUGCUUACCUGGUCUGGAAAAACUGAAUGUUUAGAAACUUUUUGUUUACCCCCCUGCUUCCUCCCAAACAUCUGGCCCCCAUAGUUGGGAGGGUAUAUCAGCAAACUCCUUUUUCUACCCAGUGUCUUUGGCUUCCCCAAAAGUCUAUUCCAUCUCUGCAAGAGCUGAAGUCUGGUCUUUGGCACUGCUAGGUCCACUCCAUCGUUACUUCAAGAACUGAACUGUGGCUUGUGCUGGGGUUCACUACUUCCUUACUGCAGCAGGAGCUGCCUGCUUCAUGAAGGCAUUUUCCACAAUCAUUUGCGGAAGUCACUGCUAAACUGGGAGAAGAGNUCUGAACUGUCUCCUCCAUCCUAACUGUUGUUUGANCCCCUGAUCAAGAGAAGACNCCAGGACAGGUAUAAUCCCUCUCUCUCUUUUCCCAAAACUGUUUUUCUCUUCNUUCACCCCACCUUCAGUUUUUAAAUUAAAGUGUUUGUGAGUGUUUUGGCCAGCAGUGGCCCAUGGCUUUAAGGCGGUUGUUCGUAACCCGCAGGAAGCAAUCGCUCGCUUUCCACGGGUUACNAACACCUGCNCUUAAAGCCACGGGNCGCCACUA
rnacentral:lncRNA from 1 species